rnacentral:rRNA from 1 species
UACAGAGGGGGCAAGCGUUGUUCGGAAUUACUGGGCGUAAAGGGCGCGUAGGCGGCCUGCUAAGUCGAACGUGAAAUCCCUGGGCUCAACCCAGGAACUGCGUCCGAUACUGGUUGGCUUGAAUCCGGGAGAGGGAUGUGGAAUUCCAGGUGUAGCGGUGAAAUGCGCAGAUAUCAGGAAGAGCACCCGUGGCGAAGGCGGUUCUCUGGGACGGUACUGACGCUGAGACGCGAAAGCGUGGGGAGCGAACAGG